GAUGAACGCUGGCGGCGUGCCUAAUACAUGCAAGUCGAGCGAACAGACGAGGAGCUUGCUCCUUUGACGUUAGCGGCGGACGGGUGAGUAACACGUGGGUAACCUACCUAUAAGACUGGGAUAACUUCGGGAAACCGGAGCUAAUACCGGAUAAUAUUUCGAACCGCAUGGUUCGAUAGUGAAAGAUGGCUUUGCUAUCACUUAUAGAUGGACCUGCGCCGUAUUAGCUAGUUGGUAAGGUAACGGCUUACCAAGGCAGCGAUACGUAGCCGACCUGAGAGGGUGAUCGGCGACACUGGAACUGAGACACGGUCCAGACUCCUACGGGAGGCAGCAGUAGGGAAUCGUCCGAAAUGGGCGGAAGCCUGACGGAGCAACGCCGCGUGAGUGAUGAAGGGCUUCGGAUCGUAAAACUCUGUUAUUAGGGAAGAACAAACGUGUAAGUAACUGUGCACGUCUUGACGGUACCUAAUCAGAAAGCCACGGCUAACUACGUG
rnacentral:rRNA from 1 species